rnacentral:rRNA from 1 species
GGCUAAAGUCGAGGAAGUGGGAUGACGUCAAAUCAUCAUGCCCCUUAUGACCUGGGCUACACACGUGCUACAAUGGGCGGUACAAAGGGUCGCGAACCCGCGAGGGGGAGCCAAUCCCAAAAGCCGCUCUCAGUUCGGAUUGCAGGCUGCAACUCGCCUGCAUGAAGCCGGAAUCGCUAGUAAUCGCGGAUCAGCAUGCCGCGGUGAAUACGUUCCCGGGCCUU